GAUGAAGAACGCAGCGAAAUGCGAUACUUGGUGUGAAUUGCAGAAUCCCGUGAACCAUCGAGUCUUUGAACGCAAGUUGCGCCUCAAGCCAUUAGGUUGAGGGCACGUCUGCCUGGGCGUCACAUAUCGUUGCCUGAUGCCAGUUUCCUCGUGAUGGGUGACUGUGCAGGGCGAAUGAUGGCUUCCCGUGAGCAUUGUUGCCUCAUGGUUGGUUGAAAAUUGAGUCAUUGGUAGGGAGCGCCGUGAUAGAUGGUGGUUGAGUGACGAACGAGACCCAAUCAUGUGAGACCCCUACCGAAUUUGGCCUUCAUGACCCACAUGCGUCUUUGGAACGCUCAUGACGAGACCUCAGGUCAGGCGGGGCUACCCGCUGAGUUUAAGCAUAUCAAUAAGCGGAGGA
rnacentral:misc_RNA from 1 species